AUUGAACGCUGGCGGCAGGCCUAACACAUGCAAGUCGAACGGUAGCACAGAGAGCUUGCUCUCGGGUGACGAGUGGCGGACGGGUGAGUAACGUCUGGGAAACUGCCCGAUGGAGGGGGAUAACUUCUGGAAACGGUAGCUAAUACCGCAUAACGUCGCAAGACCAAAGUGGGGGACCUUCGGGCCUCACACCAUCGGAUGUGCCCAGAUGGGAUUAGCUAGUAGGUGGGGUAAUGGCUCACCUAGGCGACGAUCCCUAGCUGGUCUGAGAGGAUGACCAGCCACACUGGAACUGAGACACGGUCCAGACUCCUACGGGAGGCAGCAGUGGGGAAUAUUGCACAAUGGGCGCAAGCCUGAUGCAGCCAUGCCGCGUGUAUGUAGAAGGCCUUCGGGUUGUAAAGUACUUUCAGCGGGGAGGAAGGCGGUGAAGUUAAUAACUUCACCGGUUGACGUUACCCGCAGAAGAAGCACCGGCUAACUCCGUGCCAGCCGCCGCCGUAA
rnacentral:rRNA from 1 species